rnacentral:lncRNA from 1 species
CUACACGGACCAAGCUCAGCAGUGCCUGUGUCCCUGCUUGUGUCCCUCUGCUGGGGUGCUGCUUCAGGGAUCACCCAGCUGGAGAGCUGACGGUUGGAUUUUUGCCCAACCUUGGCCUGGGGUUAUCCAGGGGAGGAGGCCCAUAGUCUCAGGACUACACAUCCUUGUGAGCUGCUUGUGUUGUGAAUUCUGUACUAAGACACAGGCACCAAAGAUGUGCGCAUCAGGGCGGAUUGACCAGAAUCACCUGAGUGUAACACAGAGGAUGCAAAAAAAUUACUGUGUUCUCUGCAUCCUUUGGUUGGCUAUGCCAGGAGUUUUACUUGGGCUUCUUUUUUUGGACAGGUCCAAUAGGAGUCAGCAUUAAUACUAGCAUGAAGCUUGCUUACUGUAGCAUUCUUAAGUCUUUAGACUUGUUACUUCCUAUUUGGGAUCUCUUUAGGGUUAUAGUCUGUGUCCCUGCUGAUUUAAAAGGAAGAAAAUGCACGUACAUGCUGAAAUCUCAUUAUCAUACUCCUGCUGCCAGACCAUGUCAUGUGGUAGGAAAAGCAAGGCUACUCCUCAGUGGAAAAGUAGGAGCCAAGUAAGCAACAGGCCAGCAGUACCUGAGCAAUGUAAGCAGGUCAGGCUUGGAGAUGGUAUUCAAGACAACCCAAGAAUCCAGGGCAUGAGACAAUACUGUAGCAAUGCUGCAGAUUCAAGACUAAGCUAGUCCACAUGUAGAAUGCAAGAUCAAGGGUCUCCAUAGACAUGCACAGCGGUAGCUGAGCUAAAGACCAGCACUCUACCAAUGCAGCUCAGACAGAAAGCAAAUGCCCGGGACUUGGCUUAAAUAGAGCUCAACAGCCUCUGCUGUUGUUGGUUGGAAAGUCCCUGAUAAGGUUGGCCGUGUCCUUUAAGGCUUAGUAGCGUCCUCAGGGCCCUGACACUGCAGAUCUGCUGAUAAGUCUGCUCUGCUGUAGCCAUGUUGGACUGCAGGUCUUCUGGCCUGAUAACCAUCAGCAGUGGGCUGCUGCUGCUGUUAGUCAACAUUUUGUUGCUGUAUGACAGAUGGCAGCAGAGGGGCAAUCUGAUAAAAUGGCAUCUGACAUGGAAGUGUGUAUGAAGCAAAGGUGUGACAUUGAAUUCCUCUGUGCAGAAAAAAUGGCAUACACUGAUAUUCAUCAAUGCUUGCUGAAUGUUUAUGGAGACCCAGCAGUGGAUGUGAGCACAGUGAGGCAGUGGGUGGUGCAUUUCAGCAGUGGUGACAAUGGUGUAAAAGUCAAGCCACAUUCUGGAUGGCCAUGCACAGCUGUCGCAUCUUGAAAUGAAGUGUGUCUCAAUCAGUUCAUCUGCAUAAAUUGGAUAGUAGUGAUGACUAUUCUGAAAAAUGAUGUUUUGUAGCUGAGAAUUUGCUCUAUCAAUUAGUGUCAUUGUGCUCUUCAUAGCUGUUGUAGUUUCCAUGGAAAUAAAUAGGUGACAUUACUUUCUGAGCAACCUACAUUUAUAUGCUGAGCUUCCCCAAGUAAAUGUAAAAUAGAAUCUCAACCAAAAUUCAUAUGCUCUGCCAUUGUCCCUGUGGCAAAUAUCUGUUACUUUAGUAGACCAAUGCUAUGUCCAAAUCAUUUUUAUUGCAAUAAGAAAGCAGCCAUGUUUUGAAAGGAUUUAACAUUUUUAGGUAGCCUUCUUUCAUUCUUUGUAGUAUGGGACAUUUUCUGGAGAUUACAAGGAGCUGUUAUCAGCUUUUAUCUGUUUUCUGUUUUUCUGGUUUUCUUUUUCCUUUUUUUUUUUUCUUUUAGUCAUAUUCUUUCCUAUUUUUUGUCCUUUUCUCUUUUUUUCCCUUAUUCUUUCUUUUCUACUUUCUUUUUCCUUUUUUCCUUUUUCUUCAGAAUGGUCUUAUUGCAAUUCUGAAAUCACUUCCUAGCUGAGCAACGCCUAUCUCAAAACACAGAUCGUUAGUGUCGAUGCAGCGUAAUCAGGACCAAAAUGCUGGACAGAAGAGUUGGUAGAGCUAAGAAGAUAUGAGAUGUUGAUUAUAGCAAUUGUAGAUUUCUAGGAAGUAAUUAAGUAUGGAGUGACCUACUGGCAUUUUAUAUUACAAAUUGUGAUGAAGUACGCAUGGAAAGUAUUAUAAAUUUUAUUUUCAAGAUGACAUUAUGCAUCAAGACCACUUAAACUCAAAGGGCAUAAUUAGAAUGCAUCUCUCUGAUGAACUCAGGCUGGUUUUGUAAGGGAUUGCCAGAGACAAAUCUUAACAUACACGGGAAAGUAGAAGUCCCUUCGUACAUGCCAUGGGUUAAAAGACAUUGUAAGAAAGCAAUGCUUCAUUAAUGAGUGGUCACAAAAUCUAUUGAAUAAUAAAAACAAAGCAAGUUAUUCUGAAGGUCUCAGGCAGAAUAUAGUAGAUGAAUAAGAUGUAAUCUGCAGUAUAAUAAAUGUCUGCCAGUUAUAAACAAAUCAUCAGCUGAUACUUACUUCAAGAUGUCUAAAAGCAUCUACAUUCCUUCAAGGCUGUUUAGCCAGAUGUGUUUAUCUGUAUAUCUUACUCUGAUACAGGAAAAAUGUCAUCCUUUGCAAUGAAGAAUUCAAGGUAUGCUUUAUGUGUGAUAUCAUAACUAUGCCUGAAAACUAGAGUCUCCCACACAGAGAUGUCUGUACUGGUCUGUCUUGGUGUCUAUGACUCUAAAGCACUGCAGAUGUGCUGGGUAGAUGCAUCUCACCUCUUAUCACACCUCUCUUGCUUAACAGACUACUGCUCAUAGAUACAGGCACAAAGUAAGCAUGUGAUCUGUGUGGUAGAUUUUUCCCUCUCGUAAAACAGUGCUGUGUGGAUGAGGGCAGAUAUGGUAAAUUGCAGGAGGCUGUCAAAAUUUUACAUAGCGUGCUGAAACCACAACUCUGAAAGACACUGCUCAUCUGACACCUCUAAGCAUUUCUAAACUCAAACAGGCUUUUUUUUUUUUAAUGCCUAGGGCACAGUCUCCCCUCUUUUCUGCUGCUUCUUAGGUCUGUGGAAAUUUGUGAAGUAGAGAAGAGUGACAAUGUAGUAGCUUUAUACAGCACUAUGUGUUCCGAGAAAGGUAAAAAACUAAAGGAACUUUCAAUUCUUUACUAAGGCAUACAUGACUCUGCCAGAAUUGUUCUUGAAGAUGACAUUUUUUGGAAACAUUUUCUGCUGUCUUCAACACAGCAUGUACUUCAAAAUUAUUGAAAAUUAAAUCCAUACUGAGAGAAUUCCAUCAUCUCCUAUGCCAAGAGAACCAAUCCAUGAUGAUGUGUCAAUAAGUGAAAAUAGACUCUUGUCAAACAAAACACGAGAGAAACUAUAAAAUUGUUUUACUGAUGU